CAGAUCCCACUGGACGAGAAUAUUCUGGUGUCGCGCUACAUCAGCAAUCCUCUACUGAUUGACGGUUUUAAGUUUGACGUGCGUCUGUAUGUGCUGGUGACCUCAUACGACCCUCUCCUGAUCUAGCUCUAUGAGGAAGGCCUGGUCAGGUUUGCCACAGUGAAGUAUGACCACGCCACGGCAAACAUCAAGAACCAGUUCAUGCAUCUGACCAACUACAGUGUCAACAAGAAGAGCAGCGACUACGUCAGCUGCGAUGACCCUGAAGUAGAGGAUUAUGGGAACAAAUGGAGCAUGAGCGCAAUGCUGAGAUAUUUGAGGCAAGAAGGCAAAGACA